UUCCCUUUUGGCCUUGUUCUUUCCCUCCUUCCUUUUUUUCCAGGUAGGAGGAUAUCCAGGUAAGGGAAAUCUUUUACUAAUAAGGACAGUAAUAUUUAAUAGUAUUUUUCCUGAACAUUGGUAUUAAUAGAGUUGACUUUGGUUCCCUUGACUCCUUCUCUUUUACUCCAUUGUGUUUGUGUUGGAGAUGAGAGUUGACCAUUUUGUAGCAAUUGGCCAGAUGUUUAUGCUGACCAAUCCGUAGGCCAUUCCAGACACCACAGAUCAGUGCCUGCGUGAAGAGGAAGGACUUGUCCAUGAAACCUGCCAAGGCAGUGUCAUUUAAGUUGAGAAAAUGGUCCUGCCCUAAAUUAACCGAUGCUCCUUAGAGACGAUCCCUAUGUUUAAUAGGACUGUGCAGUCCUUAAUAUCAAAGGUUUUGUGGGUACAAGCUCAAGCAAAUAAUCGUGGAUCGGGUGCUGCAUGAUCUGAAUCCUGGUCUCUCACUAACGAACUCAGUGACUUGAAGAUAGAUGCUUAAUCUCCCUGUACCUCCAUUUCUUCUAAAGAAAUAGAAUAAAUCUAAUUCAACCAACAGAGCUCUGUGGGAUAACCAGUGACGGGAAAUGCAAAGACUUUAUAAAAUGCAUUUAUCCUGCAUUACUUCUGUGGCGCGUGCAUCUGUGCGUCCUCCAUCAGUUCCAGCACUCGCAUUCUCUGGAAGGACCUGCCAGUUUUCAGGGCAGGGCGAUGGGCUGCCUUCCCAAAGAAUGCCUGCGUGGCUCACCGAGCCUUGCUGAAUUUGGAAAGCAGAGCAUGUGCAUGCUCACACCACUCGAUCAACCUUGACAGGCAGCACUGAGAAACUUCAAACCUACAUGACAACCAGCAGCACGCCCAGGCUGCAGGGCAUCUGUUGAUGUUCAAUCAAGUCUCCCCAAGUGUGAAAAUUAACAUUAUUCGAUUUGGCUGAUUUUCUGUGCUUAAAGAACCAGAGCUGAUUAAAGAACUGCCUCUUGA